AGUCUCAGCAAUCCGGUGAGAACGCCCCUAAACCUAAAAGGAACAGGAGCCGGUAUCAGGCACAGAUCCCUAGCCCACAACACCUAGCACCGUCACACUCCCAAGGGAACUCAGCAGUGAUAAACAUUGACAGUAAGCGCCAGCUUGACCCAGUUAAGGUAUAAAAAGCCGGCCAACCCGGUGCCAGCCGCCGCGGCUACACCAUUGGGCUUAAGUUGAUGACCCCGGCGUUAAGCGUGUUUAAAGAAAUAAUUAACCUAGAGUUAAACCUGAGCCAAACUGUGACACGCAUGCCCUUCUAGAAACCCACAACGAAAGUUACUCUAAUAUUAACUUGAACCCACGACAAUUAAGAAACAAACUGGGAUUAGAUACCCCACUAUGCUUAAUCGUAAACUAUACACUUACACCACCUCAAACCGCCAGAGUACUACUAGUACCCAACUACUUAAAACUCAAAGGACUUGACGGCGUCUCACCUACCUAGAGGAGCCUGUUCCAUAAUCGAUACCCCACGAUACACCUAACCACUUUUUGCUAAUCAGUCUGUAUACCUCCGUCGCAAGCUUACCAUAUGAAUGCUAAUCAGUAAGCAAAAAGGUCACCACACCAACACGUCAGGUCAAGGUGCAACCCACAAAGUGGAGAGAAUGGGCUACAAUUUCUAAACUAGAACACACGAACAAUCAUAUGAAAAAUGACAAUAAAGGCGGAUUUAGCAGUAAGGAAAAAUAAAAUAUUCCCCUUAAUCCAGCAAUGAGACGUGUACACACCGCCCGUCACCCUCUUCAAUUGUGGUAAUUAUAACUGUCCAUGACAUCUCAUCCUACCACUGACAGAAGAGGUAAGUCGUAACAUGGUAAGCAUACUGGAAAGUGUGCUUGGUAACAAAAUAUAGCUUAACUUUAAAGCGGUUCGCUUACACCGAAUUAAUAUCUACUAAACUAGAUUAUUUUGAUAAGCCCCAAACUCAGCCCACCAUCCCCUUCAACCCCAACCCCCCAAAAACAUUUCCACAAUUCAGUAAAGGCGAUUAAAAACUUAACAAGAGCUAUAUAUAAAGUACCGCAAGGGAAAAGUGAAAUAGAAAUGAAAUAAACAAAAAGCUAGUAAAAGCAGAGAUUCGCACUCGUACCUUUCGCAUCAUGGUCUAGCCAGUCUCAACAAGCAAACUACAAUAUACAGCUUGUACCCCCGAAACCUGAACGAGCUACUUUAAAACAGCCCAAAGGGCUAACCCAUCUCUAUUACAAAAGAGUGGGAAGAUUUUCAAGUAGUGGUGAUACACCUACCGAGCCAGGAGAUAGCUGGUUGCUCAAGAAAAGAACUUUAGUUCUCCCUCAAAUUUCUAGUACAUAACUAAUACACCAAUUUGAGACCCAUUCAAAUAAGGUACAGCCUAUUUGAUAUCGGAUACAACCAAAAACUUAGGGUAAUGCCAACCUAAUUUAACUAAGUGGGCCUAAAAGCAGCCACCUUUCAAAAUAGCGUUACAGCUUACUUAUCCUUACUCACAAUACCUACUUCUCCACAAACCCCCACUCUAGUAUUGAGCACUCUUAUAACAUAUAAGUGAUAUUAUGCUAGAACUAGUAACAAGAACUUAUUCUCCAGGGCGUAAGUAUACAUCAUAUAAAUAUUAUUACCACUGUAGUAACCCCUCAAGAAAUCCCUACUAUCCCACCAGAUUUAAUAUUAAACUUACACAAGAGCACCCCCGGAAAGAUUAAAAUAAAAAGAAGGAACUCGGCAAACCUUAGUCUCGCCUGUUUACCAAAAACAUCACCUCUUGACUAACUAUAAAAGGCCAAGCCUGCCCACUGAAAUUUUAUUUAACGGCCGCGGUACCCUAACCGUGCUAAGGUAGCACAAUCACUUGUUCUUUAAAUAAGGACUAGUAUGAAUGGCACCACGAAGACUAUACUGUCUCCUUUCUACAAUCAGUGAAACUGAUCUCCCCGUGAAAAAGCGAGGAUCAUACUAUAAGACGAGAAGACCCCAUGAAGCUUCAAACUAAGUACCAACUGCUAGUCUAAAACCACUAUAACCUGGCAGACCUGACUAUCAAAUUUUGGUUGGGGCAACCGCGGAGCAAAAUAAAACCUCCGCAAUUAAUUUAAAAGACCUACCUCCUAUCAAUUUAAGAACAACACUUCUAAAAAUCAAAACAUUGACUCUACUGAUCCAAAUCUUUGAUCAAUGAACCAAGUUACUCUGGGGAUAACAGCGCAAUCUAUUUCAAGAGCCCCUAUCGACAAAUAGGUUUACGACCUCGAUGUUGGAUCAGGGUAC
rnacentral:ncRNA from 1 species